GACAUGUAUUAGGUAACAGGUGGGGGAGCUGUGGUGGAGGACGGGGAAGGCACCUGGUUCGGUGAGUGCGGCCUCUCUUCUCGUUCUUUGUUCCUUGUCAUACCAAGGCUGUGGUGCCUAAGGAAGCCCAAACAUCUCUCUGCCACAUUAGAAGACAAAGGCAGAAGUAAAGUCUGGAAUUGGAAUUUCACACUUCAAGCCCAGACCCUUUUAGACUUGAGCAGCAGGACCCAGCAGAGAAGCAGAAUUGGUGACAUCUCGUAGCUCCGCCCCUGCUCCAGGUCAGCCCCGGGACAGAAGAUGCAGAAAAAGAUAACGAGAGAACCGGAACACGGAAUACGAUCAGGGAGUUUGAGACAUUAACAACUGCAACCUGCCAGAGUCCAGGGACCAUAAACAACUGCAACCUGCCAGAGUCCAGUGACCAUAAACAACUGCAAUCUGCCAGAGUCCAGUGACCAUAAACAACUGCAACCUGUCAGAGUCCAGUGACCAUAAACAACUGCAACCUGCCAGAGUCCAGUGACCAUAAACAACUGCAACCUGCCAGAGUCCAGUGACCAUAAACAACUGCAACCUGCCAGAGUCCAGUGACCAUUAACAACUGCAACCUGCCAGUCCAGUCCAGUGAUGGUGUUCUGGCCCGCCAUGGUUUCUGUGCUUACUUACCCUGAUGACGUGCUCUUCCUGCUCUGCUAAUACCAUUGUGAAUAUAUUGCAGCCAAUGACUGGCCAAAGUACAUGUUCAGAACAUCAGCAGGGAAGCAGAAUGUAUCAUCACAAUAAGUUAAUACAGAGAGUGGGCCAGAACGGUUAUUUUAUACCCAAAGCAAGUUGUAUUUAUUACAUAUUAUGUGUCAGGAAACGGUUUUAAUAAAAAAAUAAAAAAAAUGCCAAUGCAUUUCAAUUGUUUUGU